rnacentral:rRNA from 1 species
CCUACGGGAGGCAGCAGUAGGGAAUAUUGGGCAAUGGGCGAAAGCCUGACCCAGCGACGCCGCGUGAGGGAUGAAGGUCUUCGGAUUGUAAACCUCUUUCAGUAGGGAAGAAGCGAAAGUGACGGUACCUAAAGAAGAAGCACCGGCUAACUAUGUGCCAGCAGCCGCGGUAAUACAUAGGGUGCAAGCGUUGUCCGGAAUUAUUGGGCGUAAAGAGCUCGUAGGUCGUUUGUCGCGUCGAUUGUGAAAAUCUGAGGCUCAACCUCAGACCUGCAGUCGAUACGGGCAAACUAGAGUGUGGUAGGGGAGACUGGAAUUCCUGGUGUAGCGGUGGAAUGCGCAGAUAUCAGGAGGAACACCAAUGGCGAAGGCAGGUCUCUGGGCCAUAACUGACACUGAGGAGCGAAAGUGCGGGGAGCGAACAGGAUUAGAUACCCUGGUAGUCCGCACCGUAAACGGUGGGCACUAGUUGUGGGAACCUUCCACGGUUUCCGCGACGCAGCAAACGCAUUAAGUGCCCCGCCUGGGGAGUACGAUCGCAAGAUUAAAACUCAAAUGAAUUGACGG